GGCGCCUCGCGUGGUUCCCGCCUCCGCUCCGCCCGCGGCGCGCUUCUAAGGUUGAAUGUCACGCUGCUCCGUUGACCUGCCUGGACAGCAUUUCCUUUCCCCUCUGUUCACCUGACUCCUUAUCAUCCUGUGGAAUUCAGCUCAGUGGUUACUUCCUUCAGGAAGCUUCUGUGACAUGCCGGCCACUCUCCCCAGCCUAGAGCACAUCUCAUUUCGGACCAGGUAUGUUUCGUGUCUCCAGUAACCACACGAGGCUGGUGGCCACUGGGUUGGGCAGCACAGCUCUGGAGCAGCAAGACCCCAUCCAGCCUUCCAACCAUUCAUCAAAUCCUCCAUCCAUUCAGCCUCAAGUACCAAAGGCCUCCUCUGUGCUGAUGCUAUGCUCAGAGGAGGCUGAAGUUAGAGGAGACUGGGAUACAACAAACAGCACAAGUCAAAGCUGGGGCCGCCAUAGAUUUGGAACCCCCCGAGGGCAUAAUCUCUUAUUUUGGU